UACGUAGGGGGCAAGCGUUGUCCGGAUCAUUGGGCGUAAAGGAGCGACGUAGGCGGCCCGAUAAGUUCCGCUGUGAAAGUCAAAGGGGCUUAACCCGUUGAAUGCCCGGUGGAAACUGUCCGGGCUAGAGUCCGGAAAGAGGCGAGUGGAAUUCCUGGAUGUGAGCGGUGAAAUGCGCAGAUAUCAGGAGGAACACCGAUGGCGAAGGCAGCUCGCUGGGACGGUA
rnacentral:rRNA from 1 species